rnacentral:pre_miRNA from 1 species
CUUGUACUCCCUCCGUCCGGAAAUACUUGUCAUUGAAAUGGAUGUAUCUAGAUGUAUUUUAGUUCUAGACACAUCCAUUUUGAUGACAAAUAAUUCCGGACGAAGGGAGUACUUG